GGGGAUGUGGCUCAGUGGCAGAGCUCUUGUGUUUUGUGCACAAGGCCCUGGGUUCAAUCCCAGCACCACCA
rnacentral:tRNA from 1 species